rnacentral:rRNA from 1 species
GUCCACGCCCUAAACGAUGAUCACUGGGUGUUCGGGAAGCGAUUCCUGGGUACCGUAGCUAACGCGUGAAGUGAUCCGCCUGGGGAGUACGGCCGCAAGGUUAAAACUCAAAGGAAUUGACGGGGACCCGCACAAGCGGUGGAUGAUGUGGAUUAAUUCGAUGCAACGCGAACAACCUUACCUACCCUUGACAUGUCCGGAACCCUGCUGAGAGGUGGGGGUGCCCGAAAGGGAAUCGGAACACAGGUGCUGCAUGGCUGUCGU